GGGCGUGUAGCUCAUUUGGUAGAGCGCUCGCUUAGCAUCAAUGCGAGAGGUACUGGGUUCGAUUCCCAGCUCGUCCA